CACGUAGGGUGCGAGCGUUGUCCGGAAUUAUUGGGCGUAAAGAGCUCGUAGGCGGUGUGUCGCGUCGGCCGUGAAAACUUGCAGCUUAACUGUGGGCGUGCGGUCGAUACGGGCAUCACUGGAGUUCGGCAGGGGAGACUGGAAUUCCUGGUGUAGCGGUGAAAUGCGCAGAUAUCAGGAGGAACACCGGUGGCGAAGGCGGGUCUCUGGGCCGAUACUGACGUGGAGGAGCGAAAGCG
rnacentral:rRNA from 1 species